ACUUUAUGGUGCAUAUUUUAUAUGCGUAAUAGGGAAGUCGGUUCAAGUCCGACGCGGUCCCGCCACUGUAAUGGGGAGCAAAAUUACAUGUUUAACCACUGUCUUUUAAAGGCGGGAAGGUUGUAAUUAGCGAUGAUCCAAAGCCAGGAGACCUGCCAUAAAGC
rnacentral:ncRNA from 1 species